CGCUUCUUCCUGGAGGGAACUCAAGCUCAUCCACAAAGAUUGGCCUUUCUUGAUCAAAAGAGGAUCUAACCCGGGAGGACUGGAAGACUCAAACUAGGAGAAAACACAGAUCAGACUUAAAGAUUCCUUCCUCCUGCAAACUUUGUUUC